rnacentral:lncRNA from 1 species
ACUUAAAAAUAUUAGAGUCAGUUUUGUUAGGUUAAUAGAGUCAAAGGAUAGAAUAAUCCUAAAAAGAAAAAUCUUAACAUCUCUUAAAAAUUAUGGACGAAUUGUCAAAUAAUUUUAUGGAUAAGUACUCAGUUGCACUGGAUUUUGUUAUUACUUUUAUGUAUAAGUACUCAGUUACACUGGAUUUUGUUAUUCCAUAAUUGGCAACUAUAAUAAAUACGAUAACCUAACAAGAAUCCGUAUAUUGAUUCCGAAAUUAUUAACGUGCUAUACCCUCAACAAACGUAAGUUCGAUUUAAGAUUUUUAUUUUUAUUUUUCCUCUUGACUUGAACAAAUUUUGAAGAGGGGAUUCCUCCUUUGACAAAGAUCUUAUCUUCUCUGCCACUUGAUCUUAUCUCCUUUCGGGGUGCGGCGAAUAUUAUAACUCACAUGGAUCUAAGAGCUAAUGUCCCAUAAUUCAAGAGUACUUAACAACUAAAUUCACUUGAUUUAUUUUUAAAAAUUCUUAAAUUAAUAUAACUCCCGUUACAUAACCUAAUAAGAUCUCU